rnacentral:rRNA from 1 species
UCCGUAGGGUGCGAGCGUUAAUCGGAAUUACUGGGCGUAAAGCGUGCGCAGGCGGUUUUGUAAGCCAGAUGUGAAAUCCCCGGGCUUAACCUGGGAAUGGCAUUUGGGACUGCAAGGCUUGAGUGCGGCAGAGGAGACUGGAAUUCCUGGUGUAGCAGUGAAAUGCGUAGAUAUCAGGAGGAAUACCGAUGGCGAAGGCAGGUCUCUGGGCUGACACUGACGCUCAUGCACGAAAGCGUGGGGAGCAAACCGG